GCUACAGGCUUGAAAAUCCUAGUGCUCAAGGAAGACAUACAAGCCCAAUAAGCUGCCUUGAGCACCAAAUCACUAACAUUUUCUUUAGUUCAGCAUAGUAGUCAGUAGGAAACAGAAGAAAAUAUAAGAUUUUGUGUUUUAAAAGAAGCAAAAGUUGUUAAAGAAGAGGAAAGAAAAAGUAGUCAAGCAGAACCCCUUCCAGGCCUUUCUAACCAACAAAUUUUACAUAUUGUCUCUAGGUGCUCAAUAAUAUGCAAGGAUAUGUUUAAUAUUAUAAAACAUGAAUUCUUUUUUUAAGUAAUUUUAAAGUAAAAUUCAAAAGUAAUGUGUUUUCUAUUAGACCAUUUCAAAAGUACAGAAAUGACACAUAUAAAAAUACUCAUGAGCGCAACGUCUGGAGAUAAGCAUUUCAAAGUCUGUGCCCUUUUUUCUCUACCCCAGGCUGCCUCUUGUGAACCCCUUCACAGGACUGAAAGCAAAAAGCACCCGAGACAAAACAGUCGACAUGGAUUUCCAGAUAACACUGGGUUGUCACAAUAUGCCAAGCACUGGGCCAAAUCCUUGAUAUGCAUCAUGUCAGGAGUUCUCACAGCCACCCAUAUGGUAACCACAGGACCUUUGCCUCACAGCUCACCAGCAGCAAUGCACCAGCCACGCUCUUGUCUUGAUGAGACAGACUAGCUGCGAGGCUCCCCAACGCAACUGAUGAUGAGAGGGAAAUAACUUGGGACCAUUUCUAAGAAAUAGAAGUUGAAAAGUCUGGUGAUGAUGCCUCUGAAGGUGAGAUCACUUAAGAAAGAUAUCAUCUUGGUCUCUAAGCUGGUCUAUCACCCUGGAGGUUGAGGCUGAAACCAAGUGGUAUAAUUCAGAGGAAGAUCAAUUUUGGACACUGCUGUUUUCUCUAUUUUGGAGAUGUGGAAACUGAUGGCUAGGAAAUUUAAGAAGUCGCUCAAGGUCACAGCGUUCAUGAAGAGUAGAGCAGGUGUUGGUGAGGAGUGAAGGUAGAGGUUUGCGGUGGUGAAGGUUCACUGCAGCGGCAGAGUCUCCUCUUGAGGAAAUGAAAGAUGUUGUUCUGUAAGAAGGCGACUGGGGAGCUUGCUCCUCCAUUUGGCCACUGCCUGAUAAUCACUUUUCACCAAAUUUGCUAUUGUUUGGAGUCAAGCACUGAGAGAGGGGGCAGGCAGCAGAGGGGGCAUCUCUCUGUGCCCAUUUGGUUUUAUCAGGACAAUUAGAAAAAUGAAAUGAAGAAGCAACCCCAAAACAGAAUGAAAGUUUACUCCCGUACAGCCUCUGUCCUCCUCACACAAGUUGGAAGGCCUUAGCUGUGA